rnacentral:rRNA from 1 species
UACGUAGGGUGCGAGCGUUAAUCGGAAUUACUGGGCGUAAAGUGUGCGCAGGCGGCCGCGCAAGUCGAGUGUGAAAGCCCCGAGCUUAACUUGGGAAUUGCGCUCGAAACUACGUGGCUGGAGUGUGGCAGAGGAAGGUGGAAUUCCACGUGUAGCGGUGAAAUGCGUAGAGAUCGGGAGGAACACCCGUAGCGAAGGCGGCCGACUGGACCACACCUGACGCUGAGGCGCGAAGGCCAGGGGAGCGAACGGG